rnacentral:rRNA from 1 species
CCUACGGGGGGCAGCAGUGGGGAAUAUUGGACAAUGGGGGCAACCCUGAUCCAGCCAUGCCGCGUGUGUGAAGAAGGCCCUCGGGUUGUAAAGCACUUUCAGUGAGGAAGAACGCCUGGUGGUUAAUACCCAUCAGGAAAGACAUCACUCACAGAAGAAGCACCGGCUAACUCCGUGCCAGCAGCCGCGGUAAUACGGAGGGUGCGAGCGUAAAUCGGAAUUACUGGGCGUAAAGCGCGCGUAGGUGGCUUGAUAAGCCGGUUGUGAAAGCCCCGGGCUCAACCUGGGAACGGCAUCCGGAACUGUCAAGCUAGAGUGCAGGAGAGGAAGGUAGAAUUCCCGGUGUAGCGGUGAAAUGCGUAGAGAUCGGGAGGAAUACCAGUGGCGAAGGCGGCCUUCUGGACUGACACUGACACUGAGGUGCGAAAGCGUGGGUAGCAAACAGGAUUAGAUACCCUGGUAGUC